UACGUAGGGUCCGAGCGUUGUCCGGAAUUACUGGGCGUAAAGAGCUCGUAGGUGGUUUGUCGCGUUGUUCGUGAAAACUCACAGCUUAACUGUGGGCGUGCGGGCGAUACGGGCAGACUAGAGGUAGGUAGGGGAGAAUGGAAUUCCCGGUGUAGCGGUGAAAUGCGCAGAUAUCGGGAGGAACACCGGUGGCGAAGGCGGCCUGCUGGGACAUGGCUGACGCUGAGGCGCGACAGCGUGGGGAGCAAACAGG
rnacentral:rRNA from 1 species